rnacentral:lncRNA from 1 species
GUCUUUGUGUAGCGGCGGCCAUCGCGGGUGAUGAGCACGGUGCGGUGGGUGAUGGGCGAGCGAGACCGAGUGGUGUUGUCCAACCGUGCCCGCAUCAGCGCCUGGCCCGACUGAAGCUUGUGUGUGAAGGACACCUGUGCAAGAACCACUUCAUGUGCAAGAUGAUCCUGUACAGUCUGCUGUGAUGCCUAGCAUUGUGCUGUGGGUAUCCUUUCUGUUGCACUCUCCUUUCAGGCGCAGCCCUGCUUGCAUUCAUUCUUUGAAUGCUUGUCCAGAUUGGAGGUCUUUUGGUGUUCUUGAACAGGGCAAAGAAAGGGAAAUCCUUACUUGUCCCUCGUAGUUGUAGCCACCAGGAACAUCAUGCUGUAGGCUGCCGGCCGUUAUCUGCUUGCCUUGAUCGCCCACAGCAAGAUCAUCCACUGUCGCUCCUGUCGUCACCACACAGAGGAUGUCAACGAUGACUCAGAAUGCAGGUUCUACUUUGCAAGCUUUUCAACAUUAGUCAGCGUGCGCUACCUUGCAACCUCCUCGCCGCUGCAGGCUGCGAGACCACGUCUAGAAGCAGGACGGUAGCCAGAACGCAAAGAAGGGUGGCUGAGGAUCUGUACGCCGCCAUCCUUGAGGUGGUCUCUCGAGAGCUGAUCGUGAUCGGCUGCAACGCACAUAUCGAGCUGUCAGGAUCUCAGAUAUCGGUCCCAUUGAAUGAUUCCCAGUAUUAUAGGAAGUAAAUACAUAUUUGCACAUUCCAUCGGUUUUCAGACAGACGCCCUGAAUGGGCAGCCCUAAUUUAGGGCGUCUUGCACGCAUGCCGAAGACCUACGCAAAGGCGUCUUGAAGAGAGAAGUAUAUCAAGGCUGGCGAUGGGCCAAAGUACGAUUUUAUAAAUGAUCAAUCAUCGGGAUCCCCACCUUACCUUUCGCGAUCGCUGUUUUAGUUGUGUUUGGCUCAGUAUGAUCUCACCCUCGGAGUGCCAUCGACGUUCCCCUAGCGAGUUCUAUUGGAGUUUCGAUACCCACAGGCCUUAGGCACGUUAAAAGCUGUAAAUCGUCUAAGUCCUCCUGUCUCUCAAUGUGGACGUUUCCAGAAUUGUGAUCAUGAGA